AGUGGUGUGGUUCAUUGGUAGAGCAUCUGUUUUUCAUGCAGAAGUUCCUGGUUCAAUCCCCUGCGUCUCCA